CUUCUGCCACCGGGGAAGAGGGCGGCCCCCUGGUGGAGCAGGUGGAGGGAGGCCGUGUGGGGACCUCCUGCACGGCGGUCAUUCCUGCCCCUGCCUUCUGUCCGCAUCCGGCAGGGACCCAGGUGAGGGACCCAGGGAGGUUUGGGCACGGAAAGGCCUCUUGGGGGAUAACCUCAGCUUGAAAGGAGAGGGCGAGAAUCCAGCCUGUCAGAAAGCCAAGAAAGAAGCAACUGAGCUAAAAAUAGGAGCAUUGAACAGAAUGUCCGGAAAUGCCAUCCACAGUGCCAGAGUCUUCCAGCUGGGGAGUGGCAGAUUCCUCCAAUUUUCAGCAUACUUCAUCAAAGGUACCACGCCAAUAAGGAGGGGAAAAACAGUGCUAGUAGCAAUCAUCGUCAUGGCAAGGAAGAAAGUUUUAUGAUCCAGGAAUCCACUUUAACAAUCAACAUUAGGGCUUCCCUGGUGGCGCAGUGGUUGAGAGUCCACCUGCCGAUGCAGGGGACAUGGGUUCGUGCCCUGGUCUGGGAAGAUCCCACAUGCUGCGGAGUGGGGGGGCCCAUGAGCCAUGGCCGCUGAGCCUGCGGGAGAGGCCACAACAGUGAGAGGCCCACGUACCGCAAAAAACAAAAACAA